UACGGGGGGAGCAAACGUUGUUCGGAAUUACUGGGCGUAAAGGGCGCGUAGGCGGCCUGUUAAGUCGAACGUGAAAUCCCCGGGCUCAACCCGGGAACUGCGCCCGAUACUGGCAGGCUUGAAUCCGGGAGAGGGAUGCGGAAUUCCAGGUGUAGCGGUGAAAUGCGUAGAUAUCUGGAGGAACACCGGUGGCGAAGGCGGCAUCCUGGACCGGCAUUGACGCUGAGGCGCGAAAGCCAGGGGAGCAAACGGG
rnacentral:rRNA from 1 species